GGAUGUGAGGGCGAUCUGGCUGUGACACCUGUCACCCCACUGAUCGCCAGGGCUGAUUGGGUGAUCUGACUGGCUGGGCAAGUGUCCCCUUGUUCCUUCACUGUUCCAUAUGCAUCCCUCCUGAAGCUGCACACUUGGUCAAAGAGAACCACCACCCAUGAUAGAGAAGGACCAUUUCCUCAGUCAGGGUAUAGGAGUAGCCACACUCCUCUGCUAGAACCUCCUAACAAGCUCUCAAGGAAUAGGGCAAGAAAAUAACAACAAAGCUUUGAUUUUUAUCAGAAAAUAUCAUCUUGUGUUUGAAGCUGCACUCUGAU
rnacentral:snRNA from 1 species